ACGGUUUUAAUUCUACAUUAG
rnacentral:miRNA from 1 species